rnacentral:rRNA from 1 species
GACGAACGCUGGCGGCGUGCUUAACACAUGCAAGUCGAACGGAAAGGCCCUGCUUUUGUGGGGUGCUCGAGUGGCGAACGGGUGAGUAACACGUGAGUAACCUGCCCUUGACUUUGGGAUAACUUCAGGAAACUGGGGCUAAUACCGGAUAGGAGCUCCUGCUGCAUGGUGGGGGUUGGAAAGUUUCGGCGGUUGGGGAUGGACUCGCGGGUUAUCAGCUUGUUGGUGGGGUAGUGGCUUACCAAGGCUUUGACGGGUAGCCGGCCUGAGAGGGUUACCGGCGACAUUGGGACUGAGAUACGGCCCAGACUCCUACGGGAGGCAGCAGUGGGGAAUAUUGCGCAAUGGGCGGAAGCCUGAGGCAGCGACGCCGCGUGCGGGAUGACGGCCUUCGGGUUGUAAACCGCUUUCGCCUGUGACGAAGCGUGAGUGACGGUAAUGGGUAAAGAAGCACCGGCUAACUACGUG